GUCAAUUACCCACGACUGAAAUAGAUUUCAGUCGGGGCUUGUAAAAGGAACUAUCCUUUUUCCAGUCCCAACGGAUCUGUUUCUUUCGUAAACGAAAGUUUGGUUGAUUAGCCUUAGUGCAACGGAACCGGUCAGACCAGGCACGGUGAACCAUUAGCACUCCGUUAUCGGUUAAAUUAGGCACUCUGUGGAUGCUUCUCAAGUCCCCCACCCUGC
rnacentral:sRNA from 1 species